GUGGGGAAUUUUGGACAAUGGGCGAAAGCCUGAUCCAGCCAUGCCGCGUGAGUGAAGAAGGCCUUCGGGUUGUAAAGCUCUUUCGGUCGGAAAGAAAUGUCUAUAAAUAAUACUUAUAGAAAAUGACGGUACCGACAUAAGAAGCACCGGCUAACUACGUGCCAGCAGCCGCGGUAAUACGUAGGGUGCAAGCGUUAAUCGGAAUUAUUGGGCGUAAAGGGUGCGCAGGCGGUAUUGUAAGUCAGAUGUGAAAGCCCCGGGCUUAACCUGGGAAUUGCGUUUGAAACUGCAAUGCUAGAGUGUGAUAGAGGAAAGUGGAAUUCCAUGUGUAGCAGUGAAAUGCGUAGAGAUGUGGAAGAACACCAAUGGCGAAGGCAGCUUUCUGGAUUAACACUGACGCUCAUGCACGAAAGCGUGGGGAGCAAACAGGAUUAGAUACCCUUGUAGUCC
rnacentral:rRNA from 1 species